rnacentral:rRNA from 1 species
CCAGUUUCCAAUGCAGUUCCCAGGUUGAGCCCGGGGAUUUCACAUCCGACUUGACCGACCGCCUGCGCGCGCUUUACGCCCAGUAAUUCCGAUUAACGCUUGCACCCUUCGUAUUACCGCGGCUGCUGGCACGAAGUUAGCCGGUGCUUAUUCUUUGGGUACCGUCAUCCCCUG